rnacentral:rRNA from 1 species
CUACGGGUGGCUGCAGUGGGGAAUAUUGCACAAUGGGCGCAAGCCUGAUGCAGCCAUGCCGCGUGUAUGAAGAAGGCCUUCGGGUUGUAAAGUACUUUCAGCGGGGAGGAAGGGAGUAAAGUUAAUACCUUUGCUCAUUGACGUUACCCGCAGAAGAAGCACCGGCUAACUCCGUGCCAGCAGCCGCGGUAAUACGGAGGGUGCAAGCGUUAAUCGGAAUUACUGGGCGUAAAGCGCACGCAGGCGGUUUGUUAAGUCAGAUGUGAAAUCCCCGGGCUCAACCUGGGAACUGCAUCUGAUACUGGCAAGCUUGAAUCUCGUAGAGGGGGGUAGAAUUCCAGGUGUAGCGGUGAAAUGCGUAGAGAUCUGGAGGAAUACCGGUGGCGAAGGCGGCCCCCUGGACGAAGACUGACGCUCAGGUGCGAAAGCGUGGGGAGCAAACAGGAUUAGAUACCCCGGUAGUC